AUCCCGUAUUGUGGAGACCCGUUAAAACAUACAAGUGCCUUUAGUAGUAGUAUCCAUUGAGCCAUAUAGUGUUAUAGAGGUUGUAAUUGUAAACUUAGAAUAUUAAAAAUAAAAUGGAUUAAUCAUAAGAAUAUUCAAUAUAAUACAUAAUGGCCGGAUUGUAAUUAUGCAGGUGGCAGAAUAGUAAAUACAGAAAAGUAAGGGUCAUAAUAGUCUUUAAAAAAAAAAAAUUUAAAACCUAAACCUACAGUGCACGAACCCCUCCCUCACUCUAUUUUCUUCUUCUUUUGUUCUUUUCUCCUAAAUUACUUGUGCAGCCGUGACUCUCUUCUCCACCAUCACCACAACCCCAUCUGACCAGCCACCCAUACUAGUCACCUCCAGCCACCGGCAACCACCACUCUCCGGAACCAUCUUUGAAGGUCUUUAGAAGUUGGUUGGCUCAUUGGAUAUUACUUGACGUUAAUUGUUUGAGCUUGUGAAGUUUGUAUCUACAAGAGGUAGGGGAAACUUCUACCCUCCUUGAUAAUUCCUUCUAUGCCUUGUGUUAAUUCAUUGUAGGGAAACUACCACCCUCUCUAAUAAUUCUUUGUAUAUCUUGUAUUUAAUCCUUUUAGGAAAAUUUUUAUUCUCUUUGAUAAAUCUUUUAUGCCUUGUAUUGAAUCAUUGUAGGAACUUCCUAAAUUCUUAAAUUCCUUGUUCCUACAAUUGUUUGAUUGUUGUUCAUGGAUAAUUGUUGGCCUCUAUUAUUCUUUGUUUUCCUCCAUGGACAUGUUGUGGCCUAAGCCAUUGUUGUGGGUUUAGACCGUCUUGCAUCCAUCAUGCUUUACUAUAAAUUUUCGUAACAAAGAUAUCGCAUAAAUACUUUUAUUUGCAUCAAACUCUUUUAAUGCAUUAAAGAGGAAAAUUGUAAAUUUAUUCAAAACAAAUAAUUUGCAUAUUUUACACCCUUGUGGAGUUCAAUGGAUGAGGGGUCGGGAGUGACACCGGGGUUUCGGCCUAGACAUUGUGCGACUCCUAGGAGGAUCCCAAGUUUAUUGGACCGCAAGAGGAGAUUUUAGAAAACUGUAUUGUAAACUGUUUUGGGUACAACCUAGUUGUAAUGGUGUUGCUAAAGUAAAUUCUUGUAAUGAUAUAAAAAUUAUAUCAUUGGUAAAUGUUUUGAAAUGUAUUGUAAUGUGGCAUAUAUUGAGCCAAGUUUUGUGGACAAUUGUUGGUUGUGUUGUUCUUGUAUCACAUUGUUCGG